GACGAACGCUGGCGGCGUGCUUAACACAUGCAAGUCGAACGGAAAGGCCCUGCUUUUGUGGGGUGCUCGAGUGGCGAACGGGUGAGUAACACGUGAGUAACCUGCCCUUGACUUUGGGAUAACUUCAGGAAACUGGGGCUAAUACCGGAUAGGAGCUCCUGCUGCAUGGUGGGGGUUGGAAAGUUUCGGCGGUUGGGGCUGGACUCGCGGCUUAUCAGCUUGUUGGUGGGGUAGUGGCUUACCAAGGCUUUGACGGGUAGCCGGCCUGAGAGGGUGACCGGCCACAUUGGGACUGAGAUACGGCCCAGACUCCUACGGGCGGCAGCAGUGGGGAAUAUUGCACAAUGGGCGGAAGCCUGAUGCAGCAACGCCGCGUGCGGGAUGACGGCCUUCGGGUUGUAAACCGCUUUCGCCUGUGACGAAGCGUGAGUGACGGUAAUGGGUAAAGAAGCACCGGCUAACUACGUG
rnacentral:rRNA from 1 species